rnacentral:lncRNA from 1 species
CACAAAGUGGAGGUUGUCACUAAGGCAACUGAUGACCAGUGAGGGGCUGGAGCACAGGGGUAUAGUGGGCUGCAGUAAGCACUGGCACCUUGAGAGACUCAGGCCAGCAGAAAAAUCAAGCUGUGACAACCGGGGCAAAACCCAGCAAACAUCAUGGCUGGAAACAAACACAGUCGCAGCUCCUGUAAGCCUAGAAGACAGUGCCUUUCCCGUUCCAGAAGAGCGGAGCUGCAGUUUCCUGUUAGCCACAUGGAACGCUGCCUGCGAGAAGGCAACUCAUUGUGAAGAUGCCCACCCCACCACUGGGUGAUUCCUUAUGGAGAACUAUAGAGCAUUCCCAGCCUUAGCCCAGAUCGUCACUUUCUCUUCUGUGCAUUUGAGAAGCAAGCAGGCGUCUCUCCAGCAUCUGCAGCUCUAGGUUCCACCCCAUAAUUUUACAGAAGAGACAGACAUGCAAUUAAGAUGACCUGCCUGGGGCCCACAACAUUAGAUCAUUUCCUCAUAUAGCAUGAAUUUGACAAAGUUCACAGAAAAUGGAACGUACUCACAGGGUGCCAUCAAAACAAAAAGGCUGGCUCAGAAUCA